rnacentral:rRNA from 1 species
UACAGAGGGUGCAAGCGUUGUUCGGAAUUACUGGGCGUAAAGCGCGUGUAGGCUGCCAUGUAAGUCAGGUGUGAAAGCCCUCAGCUUAACUGAGGAAGUGCACUUGAAACUGGAAAACUUGAAUCUUGGAGAGGUCAGUGGAAUUCCGAGUGUAGAGGUGAAAUUCGUAGAUAUUCGGAAGAACACCAGUGGCGAAGGCGACUGACUGGACAAGUAUUGACGCUGAGGUGCGAAAGCGUGGGGAGCAAACAGGAUUAGAUACCCCGGUAGU